GGGGAUAUAACUCAGUUGGUAGAGUAUCUGCCUUACAAGCAGGCUGUCGGCGGUUCGAGUCCGUCUGUCCUCA
rnacentral:tRNA from 1 species